rnacentral:sRNA from 1 species
UUCUUUUAUACGAUAGUGCGCUGUCAUCUGCUGCCUCCCAUCGCAUCGCAAGUAGAAGGAGAUGGGAAGGAUAUGAUAUUGGGAGGCAGAUCGGAGGCAGACAAUCUGCCUCCCAUCGCAAGAACCCCCUGAAACCUUCAAACCAACCAAUUCAAUUUCGCAAUCUCUCACACCUAAUCCAAACCCUCAAACCAAAAACUCGAUUUCAAAUACCAAUCGGCUACGUUUUGGGUAUUGGAAUUCGCGCCGUCUCACCUCUCAAAGGCCGAUCUUUCUCAAACCGCCAUUAGAACUUCAAACCCGAGCGCUGCUGCCAAGUCUUCUUCUCCGGGACUCUACUCCACCAAGCAGUACGAACUCACAGUUCCCAACGUCGACUUGGUUCUAGAGGACGUCCGCCCCUAUCUCAUCACCGAUGGCGGUAACGUCGAUGUUGUCUCCAUUGAAGACGGCGUCGUUUCACUCAAGCUGGGAGUGUGAGAAAAUAGCUUUAAAAUUGGAUUUUUCAAUGUCUGGGCAAAGGAAAACAGGAAGAGAACACCAAUGGUGGUGACGAUGGAGAAACCCUUCUUUGCGGUGGAAAUCGACGGUCCAUAUGUUAGCAUUCAGCCCAGUUUAUAAAAGUAGGGAUCAAAGUGAAAACCAAUGACAUGAUGAUUUCUUUAAUUUUAUUAAGUUUUGUACUGAGGUAAAACUCCUCCCAUUUAACAUAGUUUUAAAUACUGAUUAGGAUAUCUGUAAAUAGGAUUGUGAGUAUGGUUGUAUAUAUGUAGUAGUUGAAUUGGAAACAUUGUUGUAAUUAUGUGUAACUAGAGUUGUAAACCGGCGGCGUCGCACGGGCUUUUUUGCUUGUGUUUUCUAGAGAGUAAUUAAUUUGACGAUGGUUAAAUUUUUUGAACAAA